GGUAGCGUGGCCGAGCGGUUUAAGGCGCUGGAUUAAGGCUCCAGUUUCGGCGGGGCCCUGGGUCCGAAUCCCUCCCCUUCCA
rnacentral:tRNA from 1 species